rnacentral:rRNA from 1 species
GCCCCGCGGAGCAUUAGCUAGUUGGUAGGGUAACGGCCUACCAAGGCAAUGAUGCAUAGCCGAGUUGAGAGACUGAUCGGCCACAUUGGGACUGAGACACGGCCCAAACUCCUACGGGAGGCAGCAGUAGGGAAUCUUCCACAAUGGACGAAAGUCUGAUGGAGCAACGCCGCGUGAGUGAAGAAGGUUUUCGGAUCGUAAAGCUCUGUUGUUGGUGAAGAAGGAUAGAGGUAGUAACUGGCCUUUAUUUGACGGUAAUCAACCAGAAAGUCACGGCUAACUACGUGCCAGCAGCCGCGGUAAUACGUAGGUGGCAAGCGUUGUCCGGAUUAAAAGGGCGUAAAGCGAGCGGAGGCGGAAG